rnacentral:rRNA from 1 species
GAUUUCUUCGGAAUGAAAAUAAGUGGAUUAGUGGCGAACGGGUGAGUAACACGUGAGUAACCUGCCUUACACAAGGGGAUAGCCUUUGGAAACGAAGAAUAAUACCCUAUGACGUCAAUUUAUCGCAUGAUAGAAUGACCAAAGAUUUAUCGGUGUAAGAUGGACUUGCGUCUGAUUAGCUAGUUGGUGAGAUAAAAGCCCACCAAGGCGACGAUCAGUAGCCGGCUUGAGAGAGUGUACGGCCACAUUGGGACUGAGACACGGCCCAAACUCCUACGGGAGGCAGCAGUGGGGAAUUUUGCACAAUGGGGGAAACCCUGAUGCAGCGACGCCGCGUGAUUUAGAAGGCCUUCGGGUUGUAAAAAUCUUUUUUAUGGGAUGAAAAUGACAGUACCAUAAGAAUAAGGUCCGGCUAAAUACGUGCCAGCAGCCGCGGUAAUACGUAUGGACCGAGCGUUGUCCGGAAUCAUUGGGCGUAAAGGGUACGUAGGCGGCCUAGUAAGUUAGAAGUGAUAUAAUAUAGCUCAACUAUA